AGGGAUGUCCCUGGGGUGGCAGGGGUGUCCCCAGGGUGGCAGGGAUGUCCCUGGGGUGGCAGGGAAUCCCCAGGGUGGCAGGGAUGUCCCUGGGGUGGCAGGGGAAGUCCCCAGGGUGGCAGGGAUGUCCCUGGGGUGGCAGGGGUGUCCCCAGGGUGGCA